rnacentral:rRNA from 1 species
UACGUAGGGGGCAAGCGUUGUCCGGAAUCAUUGGGCGUAAAGAGCGUGUAGGCGGCCCGAUAAGUCCGCUGUGAAAGUCCAUGGCUCAACCCUGGGAUGCCGGUGGAUACUGUCGGGCUCGAGUCCGGAAGAGGAGUGUGGAAUUCCUGGUGUAGCGGUGAAAUGCGCAGAUAUCAGGAGGAACACCAAUGGCGAAGGCAGCACUCUGGGACGUGACUGACGCUGAGACGCGAAAGCGUGGGGAGCAAACAGG